UACGUAGGGUGCUAGCGUUGUUCGGAAUCAUUGGGCGUAAAGCGCGUGUAGGUGGUUAAGAAAGUUGGAUGUGAAAUCCCUGGGCUCAACCGAGGAAGUGCAUUCAAAACUACUUAGCUUGAGAGUGGUAGAGGAAGGUGGAAUUCCUAGUGUAGAGGUGAAAUUCGUAGAUAUUAGGAGGAAUACCGGAGGCGAAGGCGGCCUCUGGACCAUUUCUGACACUGAGACGCGAAAGCGUGGGUAGCAAACAGG
rnacentral:rRNA from 1 species